rnacentral:rRNA from 1 species
AUUAUUGAAUUUAAUGUAGGGUUGGUUGUUGCUGGCUCAAGGAUUUUUCUAAAAAAUUAUUCUGGGCAUGUGCACACCUUCUCUUUCAUCCACACACACCUGUGCACCUGUGAGACAGAUGUGGGGGACUUUAUUGGACCCCUCUCUGUCUACUUAAUUAACACAAACUCAAUUUAUUUUAAAAUGAAUGUAAUUGAUGUAACGCAUCUAAUACUAAGUUUCAACAACGGAUCUCUUGGCUCUCGCAUCGAUGAAGAACGCAGCGAAAUGCGAUAAGUAAUGUGAAUUGCAGAAUUCAGUGAAUCAUCGAAUCUUUGAACGCACCUUGCGCUCCUUGGUAUUCCUUGGAGCAUGCCUGUUUGAGUAUCAUGAAAUCUUCAAAGUAAACCUUUUGUUAAUUCAAUUGGCUAUACUUUGGUAUUGGAGGUCUUGCAGCUUCACACCUGCUCCUCUUUGUGCAUUAGCUGGAUCUCAGUGUUAUGCUUGGUUCCACUCGGCGUGAUAAGUUAUCUAUCGCUGAGGACACUGUAACAGGUGGCCAAGGUAAAUGCAGAUGAGCCGCUUCUAACAGUCCAUUGACUUGGACAAUAAUUUUUAUGAUCUGAUCUCAAAUCAGGUAGGACUACCCGC